CCUAACAUUUCAUAAAUAUGCAAAUAAGAACCAAAGGAAGACCAUCCAUUUAAUCGUUAAUCGACCAAGAUUUUGCAAAAAAUUGAUAUUUUGACCAUACUAAGCUAGUGCAUUUUCGUCAAUUCCAUGACAACAUACAUUUUACAAUAUAAUUACAAUUAUAUAAUAAUGGAUAAUGAAUUCAAAAAAAGAUAGAAAAAAACAACCCCAGACCAAAAGGUUAUUUUCUUCACCUCACCCUGACUCACACCCACACCCACACCCACACCCACACCCACACCACCACACCCACCUCAAAACAGAACCCAAAAAAUUCACAUCCGCCGGCUGGUCAAUAGGCCAUAGCCACCUAUCUCACCAUAAGUCAUAAACCACCACAAUCAAACCAAAACCAUCACCAUCAAACCAUCAAACCCAACCUUUCUACUGGGGAAAAUUGCAGCAAUUUCGAUGGUCACCCAAUCCACAUACACAUCCCACAUAAUUAAUUGGACAAACAACACCACAAGAAGAUCAAAAUGAAAUUGAAAACCAAAGGAGUCGCAUGCCUUAACCCCUCAAAUCGCCACCUACAGUCACACCCAUGGUUGCGCCUCACUGUCAGUAGUCUCACCCAUUCUAGGCGAGCAUAUUCACGGUGGAACAUCAUCAAAACAAAAAAUAGAGUUGGGUUGCAUUAUCAGGAUUUUGAAAUUUUUAAUGAUGGGUUGGGUGGUUUUCAGGGGCUUUGAUGGAUGGUUGGGAGAAGGAAAUCGACCAAGGUUUGAUGAUGGGAUGAUGGUGGAGGAAUGUAAAGGUCGUCCCGCGAAGAAGGCGGCGACGACAAUGAUUUGAGGGAGAAAUGUUUGAUGAUUGGAUUAUUGUUUGGUAUGGGGGAAGAAGAUGAAAAUGAGGUGAGGUGGGGUAGAGAGGGUUUUUUUAGUAGUUUAAUUGUUGCUUUUAAUUCAAA
rnacentral:lncRNA from 1 species